UACGGCCACAUCGAGCUGAAACACUGGUUCUCGGCCGAUCACCAAAGUUAAGCAAUGUCAAGCUUGGUCAAUACCUAGAUGAGUGUCCGCUUGGAAACAUCAGGUACUGUAAG